GACAGAGGGUGCAAGCGUUAUCCGGAAUGAUUGGGCGUAAAGCGUCUGUAGAUGGCUUUUCAAGUCCGCCGUCAAAUCCCAGGGCUCAACCCUGGACAGGCGGUGGAAACUACCAAGCUGGAGUACGGUCGGGGCAGAGGGAAUUCCUGGUGGAGCGGUGAAAUGCAUUGAGAUCGGAAAGAACACCAACGGCGAAAGCACCCUGCUGGGCCGACACUGACACUGAGAGACGAAAGCUAGGGGAGCAAAUGGG
rnacentral:rRNA from 1 species